GUGCCAGCCGCCGCGGUAAUACGUAGGUGGCGAGCGUUAUCCGGAAUCAUUGGGCGUAAAGAGGGAGCAGGCAGCCUGGAGGGUCUAUUGUUAAAAGGCAAUGGCUUAACCAUUGUAAGGCGAAGAAACCGGCAGGCUAGAGUUCUAAAGAGGAUCGUGGAAUUCCAUGUGUAGCGGUGAAAUGCGUAGAUAUAUGGAGGAACACCAGUGGCGAAGGCGACGAUCUGGGAAGAAACAGACGCUGAGUCCCGAAAGCGUGGGGAGCAAAUAGGAUUAGAUACCCUAGUAGUCCACGCCGUAAACGAUGAGUACUAAGUGUUGGGGGUCAAACCUCAGUGCUGUAGUUAACGCAAUAAGUACUCCGCCUGAGUAGUACGUUCGCAAGAAUGAA
rnacentral:rRNA from 1 species